rnacentral:rRNA from 1 species
GACGAACGCGGCGGCGUGCCUAAUACAUGCAAGUCGAACGCUUCUUUCCUCCCGAGUGCUUGCACUCAAUUGGAAAGAGGAGUGGCGGACGGGUGAGUAACACGUGGGUAACCUACCCAUCAGAGGGGGAUAACACUUGGAAACAGGUGCUAAUACCGCAUAACAGUUUAUGCCGCAUGGCAUAAGAGUGAAAGGCGCUUUCGGGUGUCGCUGAUGGAUGGACCCGCGGUGCAUUAGCUAGUUGGUGAGGUAACGGCUCACCAAGGCCACGAUGCAUAGCCGACCUGAGAGGGUGAUCGGCCACACUGGGACUGAGACACGGCCCAGACUCCUACGGGAGGCAGCAGUAGGGAAUCUUCGGCAAUGGACGAAAGUCUGACCGAGCAACGCCGCGUGAGUGAAGAAGGUUUUCGGAUCGUAAAACUCUGUUGUUAGAGAAGAACAAGGACGUUAGUAACUGAACGUCCCCUG